CUGGAGCUAAGCCGGGCCGCCUCCAGCUCCACUCAGACCGUUCAAAAACAUCCAAUUACUGCUGGAACAUGCAAAUGUGAGUAAUAAGAGAAUUGAUCAAUCCAAGCCCAGGGCUCCCUGGAGACUGUUAAUUUUGUAAGGUUGUAGUUUUUACUGUGUAUAACAUGAUUUACUUGACUCAUUGAUUUUAAAGCCUUUUUUUUCCAGAAUGAUCAUUUGGAGACCCGUUCAAAGACACAAGUUUUGCAUUUUGGUUUCAACUCAAGAAUAUAACGUGCAAGCAGGUGUCAAAAAGUAAAGUGCGUGAGCUCUAUGUGCUCAAGGUUCAUCUAGAUGCAGGAGUCUGAACUAGCCUGGUGAACAGGAGGCUAAGUCAACUGCAAAUCCAUUUAUUUCAAUCUUGGAGGUAUUUAAUGCAUCUGGAAACUCUUCCAAUCUUUACGGUUUCAGUCUGUAUUCAGCCUUGAGUAUACAGUACAGGCCAAAAGUUUGGACACACCUUCUCAUUCAAUGCAUUUUCUUUAUUCUCAUUACUAUUUAAAUUGUAGAUUCUCACUGAGGGCAUCAAAACUAUGAAUGAACACAUGUGGAAUCAUGUGCUUAAGAAAAAAGUGUGAAAUAACUGAAAACAUGUUUUAUAUUUUAGAUUUCUCAAAGUAGCCACUCUUUGCUUUUUUGAUAGCACUGCAAACUUUUGCUGUUCUCUCAAUGAGCUUCAUGAGGUAGUCACCUGAAAUGGUUUUUACUUCACAGGUGUGCCUUGUCAGGGUUACUUUAUACUUCUGUCAUCAAGAGCAAAGGGUGGCUAUUUUAAAGAAAGUAGAAUAUAAAACAUGUUUUCAGUUAUUUCACACUUUUUUUAUAAGUACAAAAUUCUACAUGUGUUCAUUCAUAGUUUUGAUGCCUUCAGGGAUAAUCUACAAUGUAAAUAGUCAUAAAAAAAAAAUAAAGAAAACACAUUGAAUGAGAAGGUGUGUCCAAACUUUUGGCCUGUACUGUAUCUUAAAAAUUUAAUAUCUAAGGUGGACUUUGGCCAUCGGUGUAGCAGUGCUCUUCCGGAACUCACAGGCUGCUACCAGCCCAACAGGGCAUUUCCUCAAGCAAAGACACGUUUCAUUGUCAUGUGAGGUUGAAAGUUUAAAAAAGUGGAAGACACCUCAUGGAGGCUAUCUCAGCUGCUAUCAUGUUGACUGUUGGGUGAGUUUGCAUGAUUCAAAUAAACAUGUCCACACAUGGGGAAUCUAAGUGACGUUAUUCUGCUAAAAUAUGGCUGUUAUACAAAGUGGAGCGGCCACCUCAAUGAAUGCAUGCUCUCUCCCACACAUGUUCAUAAACAUGCCAAACAUUUCCCUCCCUGUCAGUGUCUCAAAUUAACAUCCCUACUUCUUCUUCCCUCUUCUCUGUUGUAUAGCGUAACCGAGGGUGCACACUUGUAGCUCCAUCUUUUAACUUAAUUCACACACCUACUUACCUGUCGAAGGCGUGUCACGCUCAUGUUUUGAAAGAGGAAACGGAUUGUGUGAUUUCCACAGAGUAAAUAGGAGGAAAUGGCAGGCAAAAGUGAUCACACAAUUGAGAAAAAGUUCAUCUCUGGUUAAUUUUUUAUAAAUCUCUAAAAAAGUCUUUGGCAGCACUGCACUUUUGGGCACUUUGUUAGGCCAGGACUGUCAUUUAAGUCGAUGGCCGACCCUCUGCUAGGAGAGACGACUUGAGCACGAUCUGAAAGCCUCACUAUCUGAUGAAAAAAGACUCUUAUUAAAGUCUAUAGCUGACCCUCCACAUCAAAAAUAGACACGGGGUACCCAGUGUGCGUCGCUUACUGACAUAAAGGGCUCCUGACCGUCUAUCCAUAUCUUACGAGUAAGGAAUGAGAUAGUGUUGGGGUAGAGGAACUGCAGCAGCCUGAAGAUUCUACAGUGUCAGAUGGGUGAGGACACUGGAAAUCACCUGUUAAGGUUUGAGCAUACUAGGAAAACUUGGAAGUGGCCUGAGAGUGAGUGGACCUGCUGACUUGUUCCACUGUUGACUGGUAAGGUGUUGGAAGACAUAGAGAGAUCCCAUUGAUACAUGGACCUGAAAGCAGCCCUGCUGACCUAUAGGAACUAUACCGACACUGGAUCCAGCCUGAGCGGCACAACAAGAGGAGAUCAGUAAGACCAUCACCUUGGAGCUCCUCUGGGUGCUCCCUGCUGGGGUGAGGGAGCACGAGCCAGCGGAGGGUCUGGCAGCUGCAAAGCUGGCUCUGCAGAACCUGAAUGCACGGAGAAGGGGUCCAGCUCCACACACCACCAUGGCACCACACUGACUGGCACCCCAGUAACUCCAGCAGAGAAAGAGCAACCAGGGGCAGACAGGAGAAACUUGUACUGCUCCAGUGUUUGUACUGUCAGCAGCUUGGCCACAAAGCUUCUGUGUGUCCAUAAUCAAAGUCAAGGUCACAGGUGCUUGCUAUGGUCCCAGGUUAGAGGUGGAGCCUGCAGAUGACAAGAACAUCAUGAGACGUUACUGCUCUGCUUGACAGUGGCAGCAUCAUGUCGCCGGUCAAACAGUGUGGUUCCUGUAGGCUGUGUGGACUACAGCUGACCGGAGCAUGUUUGACUGUAACCUUACCUGUUGACUGUUGAGGUGGUGGAAAGCCUACCUGUUGAUGUCAUCCUGGGAUGGGACUUACCUGUUGCCGUUGGAGAAAGAAAUACCUGGUAAGUCUGAAUAAGGAAUUGUAUGUAAAUGCUCUUUGUCAUGUCUUGACCCCAGCUCAAGCAAGUGUCCAACCACUCCCAAACUUUGUAAGUAGUCUGUGUGAGGGUGGAACUUUUGGGGCCUGAGGCUUUCCCCUAACCCACCAUCACCAUGCCUGCUGUAAUGCCUGCCCUAAUACAGCUCUUCUCCAGGCUGGGGAUACCAGUCGAGAUCCUCACUGACCAAGGAACCAACUUAAUCUCCAGGUGAUGCCCAGAUGCUGUUCAUGCAAUUGGGAAUUACAGCACUCAAAACCCCUCCAUACCCCCCACAGGAGUGCUAAACUUUCUGGCGACACAUUAGUUUUGUGCACUUUAUUGAAACAGCAGUAAUUGUUCUGAACCAAUAAAUUCACGUUUGAUGACUGGUCGGGUGCCACCCUGCGGUCUUUAAUGUGUAUCAGUCAAUCCCCUGAUCUGAUCAUCACAACAGAUGGGAAUGUUUUGCACGCUGGUUUUCGUAUCAAUCAUGGUUUCAGACCACAUGAUGAGCACUGCAGCAUUAACAUUAUAAAUUUAAUGUCAAGAUCAUGAAGUACAUUUUAUUGCUUUUCAAGACACUCUUUGUUAUUUACUUUUGCAAACAUAACAGCUUUACAGUAAAAAGAAGUAGACCAGUAAAGAGCGGUUAUAUUUAAAAACAGAAGUCUGUCACAUUAAAGGAUCAUGCAAGGUGACAUCCAUCACUGUUUGAUUCAGAGGAAAAGAGGAGUAUCAGAGAAAGCAAGUACAUCCCGGGGAGAGCAGAGCAAGACCGGGGCAGAGAAAGGGGGAGAGAGAGAGAGGGAGAGAGGGCUUCCUCUGGUGCAUUUUCCCCUCAGGGCAGAAAGGAGGAGGAGGAGGAGAGGGGCUGCUCCCCUGACAGAUCUGAAGAUGUCCUGUUUUGCUUUUCCUCAGCUCUCCCUCUUCCUGCAGGAAGCAACAUCACGCUGGGCACCAAAGCUUUGGCAAGCAGAGGCCACUCAGAUCUAGCACUGAUGUGUGCUGUCUGCAGAUGUAAUGCUUGAAUAAGGGAUCAACAUGCAGAUGUGCGAAAGUCAAAUCUAAUCGAUGUGAAAUGCAGAAGCAACUGGGCCACCGUGUACAUGUCCAGUCACAGGUAGAAUGUUUAAUUAUUUUAUGUCUCCUGAAAAAAUGAGCAUUAAGGCAGUUGAUUGGUCCUGCAGACAGAAGUCACAGUGUCAGGAUUACUUUAGCACCAAAUGGAGCAGAUGUGUUUUGCACCAAAAAGCCAAAAGUAUCUCAGAAACAGAUCCUGCAGCAGGGGUAGGCUGGAGCUGGUGCUGCUUGCAUGAUGAUGCUGACAUGAGCAGCAAACUGAAAUGCCAUUUUCCCAUCACAGCUCUGACCUUUGGAACAAACAGAAAGAAAAAGUCCUGGGUCUACAGAUUAAACUAUCUGUCUGGCAGUCCUAAUUAAAACAAAGGAUUAGUUCUGUGUUUUCAUUAAAAGAAAAAUUCAGAUAAUAUUCAGAUUCCUCGUUGCACUCUUGGCCUCAGCCACUCUGAAACGAGAUAAACUGUGGCUUUUGUUUAAUUUGAAGUUUGCAGCAGAGCAUUUAAAACAUUUGGCACACUGAAGUUCAGUCAUGGCUGCAUCUUCUCGCUUUUCCUGCUGCUAAUGAAAAAAUAACAACACCAGUAUUUUUUUCAAGGUAACUUUACCAAAAAUUCAUCCCCAGAUGUCUCAGUGGUCCAAAUUAACAAACAGAAAAAAAAAAAUCAAAAAAAAUCACAAGAUUGAGCGAAGCAUACAGCGAUAGCUAAUCACACUCAUGUCAGCUGGCAUCCACGUCGUAAAAGAGGGCAGUAUUUGGGAUCUGUGGAUAAAACAAAUCAAAGUUUAUACUUGAAAAAUGGACGACGACUGACUGCAGGCUAGUCAAACAUUGUGGGAGACUUGGGUCUGGGACUUUGAAAGUCAUACGUACUUGACCUGUAUGAAACAGUCAAAGCAAACAAAGAGGAAUAAUCCACACAAGAGAAUAAAAGAGUUUUAUCUGUUUUGGUCAGCCACUAAGAAAGAAUGAAAAAUUCAGUCUAAGUAGAAGCUUAAUGAAAAAUAAUAAUAAUAAUAAUAAUAAUAAUAAUAAUAAUAAUAAUAAUAAUAAUAAUAAUAAUAAUAAUAAUAAUAAUAUUUUUAACAUGAAAUGGACACAGAACUUAAUACGGUUGGCAUACAGUUACUAUAUCUGUGAUUUUUAUAAUUUAAAAUAAAUCCUGGCAGCCUUGAGUGUAAUAUUUAGAUGUAAGUGCCAAACAAAUGCGCCAGUUAAAGUAAAAAAAAAAAAACUGCCUGUUGCCAUAAAAGAACUCAAGUCAAUUCACACAAGAAUGAAAUCUCAAACAGGUAAUUUAAUCCCAAAAUAUCAAUAGUAGAAAAAUGAGAUGCAGACAAGUUGAUAUUGUGUAAGACUUAAGGGUGGGACUUUUUCAGGGUGGAAUCUCCUGAAAAGUACAGAUACUGCUGUAGUCACCAGGAAUCUUUGGAUGUAAAUGAGUUGUUAAACCAUUUAUGCUUGUGAGAGGCUUUUUGCUUUUAUUAAGGAUUUCAAACUGUUCUGAGAAACAAAACAGUCACAUUACGCAAUUAGAAAUACUGCUAACUGCAAAUAGCUACAGAAAUUCAGAGAUCAGUCACCAUUAAAAAAAUACAUCACAUGGCAGCCUGAAACGAAAUAUUAAAAUGAGAAUUCUGAAAAAACUGCAGUGAUGAAAGCAAAGUUUGUGUUAAAGUUAAACCUUAAAGGCAAAACAUAUCAAUAUAUCAGAGAGUUUUAUUCUCAAUGAUCAACAUCAGAGAGAUUUCAAUAUCGAGUUUGAGAUUCAAACAGUGUGAUUUUCAUUCAGCAGUGACAGCAGUAACUUCAUUCACACCACACACUCUCACACAGAUGUCACUUUCAUUCAUAAAAUCUGACAUCUUAAAAUAACAUCCAUAUAAACACACAUAUGUACAGUAUUUUAAACACACUCACUGAGGUCAGUGCUGACUGUUGUUCUCAUAUCUGUCCACACUUUAGUAUUUCACACUGACAUCAUCACCAACACACACCCUACACACACACACUGAGGCCGGCGGUCUCCCAGGACACACACACACACACACACUCAUGCUUUUACAGUGUCUAUCCAGGACCGGACUUUCUCUUUUCCACAUCAGUCACAUUUCUCUCUCCUCUCACCAUUCAUUCACAUGGCUGCCCCUGAGUGUGUGUGUGUGUGUAUGUUUGUGUUUUGUGUGUGUGUGUGUUUUCCUCUCAUUCUUAGUGAGAGACUUUAUCUCUGGAUCAGAUAAGGCUCUCGGUACUGGUCUUAAACCUUCAGCAGAUCUGUCCAAACACAUGAGCUCAUGUCAGAGCGCCGCUGCUGCCUGUUAACUCCAUGAGCUAAUAAAGAGUCCAUGUGUUGGUUAUUCAGGCCUUCAGGAGGUGUGGAGGGCCGAGGUUUCUUUCUUCAUUUCUGACCACCAUUUUUGUCAUUUUCUCAUCUCUGUGUUAACUUAUUCCCUGUACGCCACAUCUUACUUUUAACCCUUUCAGUCCAGGUUUUAUUCCCUUGCUCUUUCUCGGUCUGUAGGUCAGCGACACAGCUCCAACAGCUUGAAUUUUGAUCAUGUUAGCUCUAUCAGACGAGGAGAUCUCAAACACAGGGUGUCGUCAAGACAACAAAGCUGAAGCCACACAGGUAGAGCGGGGCGAGACCUGCAUGAUGGUCUCCUCUCUGAUGUGUGUGUGUGUGUAAGUGUAAGUGUGUAUGUGUGUAGGUACAAAGAGAACAAUAGCAGGCUAUGUGAAUUUUGUGUGUGCACAUGUAUUUCAUCGCCCUGUGUGGCUGCUCAGGGACUGGCUUAUGUGUGUGUGCGUAUGUGUGUGUGUGUGUGUGUGUGUUCGGUGUGUGUAACAUCCCUGCAGAGAGAGGAGGGGUCCACCAGGAGGGGACUAAGGUUACCCCCUGAUAGAGGCAGCGCGGGGUCAUCUCGCAGCGGGACACUUCUCAGGGGCGACCCCGCCGCCCCUUGUGGCCCCCCGAGCAGCCGGGACUUCUGAGGGGAGAAGAGGAAGGACCAGAGGAGAGACCCCCAGAGAACAGGACCCCCGGUCUGCCCCAGACCUCAGCACCCCGGCCUCAACAGAGCCCGACCCAGGUCCAAUGUGUUCCCAAUCAGGAGAAACACAAACAAGACUUUUAUUAAAGAGAGCGGGCCGCAGAGGAAAGCCGCACACACACAUACACAUACACUCACACACACACACGUAUAAAUACACACACUCAACACACACAUACACAUUUUCUCCAAACAGAAACAGGAGCAGAAUUAACUUGAAUUAACACUCAGAUUAAGAAACUGUAAAUCAGCACAAACAAAGAACUGUCAAAUCACGAUUAUCACCAUCACCCAUGACCCCGACUCCUGCCUCCCUUUCCUCCUCUCGCCUCCAUUCUUCUGCGUCUCUAUCCGGGAAAACAAACGGAGGGAUUAGGGAUUUGUGGAGGGGUAAUGGGAGCCAGGUGGAGGAGUGUGACUGCGGGGGUCUCCUGCCAGAUUAGGGGGAGCGGCAAGCCCCAAUCCCUCACACUCCUUCCUAAAGGCGGCUAAUGUUUCUUUUGAAGAAAUGAUCCUGUUUGGCCAUCUAAUAGCACUUGGCAAUUAUGAGCCUUUGCAGGGCAUGUUUGGUAUUACAGAGGCUGGCUACCUGCGGAGACUCAGAGGAGGGGAGAGAGUUUAUCAAGUGAUAACAUACAGAUCUAAGAUGAUGGAGACUUUAAACAGUAAAUACACAAGAAGUGCAUGCAGAAUCCAAAAGUUCUUCUUUGUGGACUUUGUCAAAUAUGUAUUAACUGUGUUUUUAUUUUUGCUUUUUUCUGUCUUACCAGCAUCACUUUGGGAGACACAACUCAUAAAGCUCCACGGACUCUAGAUGGGUGAGCAUGAGCCCUGAAGAGGAUCUGACAGUCUGUGAGUUGGCACAAAGCAAACCUGAUCUCAUCCCAGGGAAGAUUCUCUGGACCGCUCUGUCGAUCCAUGUCUGGAGGGACGGGAAGACCCUGUGGUCGAGGACUUCACACCAUAAAUUCUUCUGAGUGCAUACUUAAAGUAGUUCAGACCUAAC
rnacentral:lncRNA from 1 species